ensembl:lncRNA
GUUACCCAAUGGGUUGAGGGGGGGCACAUGAACGCUGGUUACCCAAUGGGCUGAGAGAGGAGUGGGGGGGGCACAUGAAAGAAGGUAUUAGUGAAAAGUCUUAGCAAAAAUACUGUCAUUCUUUUGGAGAAAAAUACACAAAGGUUGAUCAAAUCUACACAUCAAACUAAUGGCACAUACAUGUACAGGAUCAAAUACAAAUGAAAAAACACAUCAACAUAUCAGCUGAAAUGUUCAAAGAAAAAAAAACUUUUUUUAAAAGGUUGAAAGUGCUAGAAUUCAGAUUAGCUCACAGAAACCCAGAGAGGACAAGACUAAAUACUAAUAACUUUUCAUUUGUUUUAUCAAUAAAUGAAUAAAAAGAUAAAUGCUACAUUUGAAUCCUACAAUUGUGUCUGGAAUUGAACAUAGCCACGGUCUUUUAAAAUGUAUACUUGAUAUAAAAAGGCUAUGACAUAACCUUCUUUUUUUUCUUUUUUACAUUUAUACCAAUAUUUAUAUCCAACUUCCUCUGUAAGAAACAGUCAAACUCUUUCAAAUGUAAGAAUCGCAUGUAUCAUGAUCAAUCAGGACAUGUUCAUAGUUUAGACAAUGUACCAGCCUAGAGGAGGAUUUUCCAGGAACAGACUGGUUAGUGUCAACUUGAACACACCUGCACUUAUUACCUCACAAGCAUUGGUUGGCAGUGGCACUAUUUGUAACAACCAAACAAACAUGAACUUAAAUCCAAAUGAUACAACAUGUAUUUUAAUGAGCAAUUGUGCAAGAUUUAGUUUCCUCUCUCUGGGUUUUGGUAAGAAAAAUUGAAAAAAAAAAAUUAAAAAAUGAGGUGAUGUGUUGUGUUGUUUCGAGGUCCUGUUUUUAACAAACAGAAAAAAAUAUAGCAUAUGACAACAACAAAAUACGACUAAGAAAUAUCCCAUUCAGGCGUCCCAUGCUUUGAAUGUCAAAGAGCAGGCUGGUGACUUGUCUGUUCUGGAUAUUGUCCUUUUUAGAUAGACCCUUUUGUCUUGAAUCUAGGAAGCAGCUGAGUGAGGAGGAGUACAGGAGAGGAAGGGAAACACUUCAAAUCGCUACUACUGAAAUGUUCUAGUGCUCUACAGUUGCUGAGCAACCGUAGCUAAAAGCAGCCGUAUGUUUUAUUUCUUUAUUUUUACAUUUCUACUUGACUUAUACUUGAAACUACGUAUUCACUAAUAGAUGCCUGUGGACUGGGCUCAGUACUCAAACAGACAAAAGUCAAGGGGUUUUGAGACAAGUUGCAAACCAAGAGGAUGAUAUUCAUACCGUAAAGAUUAGUCCUUGUACUCUCCAGGCAGAAUCUAUCUUUUAACGUUGUCCAUCCUACAAACAUAACUCACGGGACACAAAUAAGAGCACCUGUUAUAGUUUUAUAACUUUGGGCUUAAGUUUUCAAAAGGCUAGUGAAUAUGAAGAAAAAAAAGGCAUCUAAAAUCGGGUCGCUUCGUUUACUUAGGGUCAGGUUGGGUUUCAUACUGAGAAAGUAGAGAAUGAAUUGAAACUGGAGAGUCUAUCAAUGUUAUCUAUGUUGACUGCUAUUUCAUUAUUAUUCCACUAACAGCCUACUAAAACAUUUGUCAAAAUCCACAAUCCAAGUUUCUGCUACUAACUCAAGUAGGUAAAGGUAAAGAUCAAGGUAAAGAUCAAGGUAAAGAUCAAGGUAAAGUUCAAGAUCAAGGUAAAGAUCAAGAUCAAGAUCAAGGCAAAGAUCAAGGUAAAUAUCAAGAUCAAGGUAAAGAUCAAGGUAAAUAUCAAGGUAAAGAUCAAGAUCAAGAAUGAAUACAGAGGAGAAAAGCUAAAGGGCAAAGCUAAUAAUUCAUCCUUUUUUGAGCAAUAAAAUGUCAGAUACACACAAAUGUAAACCUGCCAGACAUUAAACAUCAUCACUUUGUACACCUUACUGAGAUAAAAGCAAUAAUAAUAUUCAUUUUUGAUGAGAUAUUUUGUACACUGCAAUAACAUUCUCUUACACCUUUUCCUCAAUGUCGUCGUUGUCAUUUUUGUUUGCUAUUCACAUAUGUCAGGGUGGUUAUUACCAUGCAUCUCUAACAGAGAGAAAAUAUAUUUGUUUUCAUCAACAACAACAAAAAAAUACAUAUCAGUAAUGUGUGGCAUAUUGUUACCAUGGAGACUUCUUAAAACAAAUACUGGAAGGAAGACAGUUGAAGGAAGGAACAUCAUCAUGAGUCAAAUACUGGUAAUGACCUGUUUUCAAGAGCAGCUUUUACAAGUUGGGUUUUUUCCCCAUAUAGGGUCAUCAUCACUGAGAGCUAGCCAAAGGGAUUCUUAAAGGGGAAGAGCCUUCCCCAUAUAAGGUCAUCAUCACUGAGAGCUAGCCAAAGGGAUUCUUAAAGGGGAAGAGCCUUCCCCAUAUAAGGUCAUCAUCACUGAGAGCUAGCCAAAGGGAUUCUUAAAGGGGAAGAGCCUUCCCCAUAUAAG